rnacentral:rRNA from 1 species
UUAAGCAUAUCAAUAAGCGGAGGAAAAGAAACCAACAGGGAUUGCCCUAGUAACGGCGAGUGAAGCGGCAACAGCUCAAAUUUGAAAUCUGGCUUUCGGGCCCGAGUUGUAAUUUGUAGAGGAUACUUUUGAUGCGGUGCCUUCCGAGUUCCCUGGAACGGGACGCCAUAGAGGGUGAGAGCCCCGUCUGGUUGGAUGCCAAAUCUCUGUAAAGUUCCUUCGACGAGUCGAGUAGUUUGGGAAUGCUGCUCUAAAUGGGAGGUAUAUGUCUUCUAAAGCUAAAUAUUGGCCAGAGACCGAUAGCGCACAAGUAGAGUGAUCGAAAGAUGAAAAGCACUUUGAAAAGAGAGUUAAAAAGUACGUGAAAUUGUUGAAAGGGAAGCGUUUAUGACCAGACUUGGACUUGGUUAAUCAUCUGGGGUUCUCCCCAGUGCACUUUUCCAGUUCAGGCCAGCAUCAGUUUUCGCCGGGGGAUAAAGGCUUCGGGAAUGUAGCUCUCUUCGGGGAGUGUUAUAGCCCGUUGUGUAAUACCCUGGCGGAGACUGAGGUUCGCGCUUCUGCAAGGAUGCUGGCGUAAUGGUCAUCAACGACCCGUCUUGAAACACGGACCAAGGAGUCGUCUUCGUAUGCGAGUGUUCGGGUGUCAAACCCCUACGCGUAAUGAAAGUGAACGCAGGUGAGAGCUUCGGCGCAUCAUCGACCGAUCCUGAUGUUCUCGGAUGGAUUUGAGUAAGAGCAUACGGGGCCGGACCCGAAAGAAGGUGAACUAUGCCUGUAUAGGGUGAAGCCAGAGGAAACUCUGGUGGAGGCUCGCAGCGGUUCUGACGUGCAAAUCGAUCGUCAAAUAUGGGCAUGGGGGCGAAAGACUAAUCGAACCUUCUAGUAGCUGGUUUCCGCCGAA